rnacentral:lncRNA from 1 species
CACAACAGAGGCAGCUUGGGCCACUGCACUGCAGCCUCAGAUGCAGUUUCAUGUCACUGUUCUUCAUCUUGGGGCUGGAUAGGAAAAUUGAUUAAGUCAGAUAACCUGCAAAGGAGAAACCAAGCCGGAGAAGAGCUCGUCCAGUGCAGAGCUGGUCUCACAUCCCAAUCACCUUUCCUUCCACUUCGCUUACAAGCUUUGAUACGAACAAACAGUUGUUAUACAAAUACAAAACAGAGACCCAGAUCAAAACAGCAUAUUUGACUUUGUUAUAUGGAGUAAAGUUAGCACGUACUUGUGAAGAAAGAAUGAACAGCAGGCUUCAGAUUUGGACAUGUUACCAGGAUUCCAGUGAAAUAAAAGAAAACCAGAUGGAUACAAGGAGAAGCUACAAGGAGAGAGCACAGAGGGGAAAGCUCUCACUGGGAGCACGCAAUGGGCAAGGAAAGCUGAGCACUGCAAAAUAUCAGGAGAUGGAACAGACCAUUAUUUGGCCUCCACUGUUGCAUCAAGAAGAGCAAAGCCUGUACUGAUUGGCCAUGCCCAUGGAGGAGAGAGCCAUCUGAUGGUAUUUACCAUGGAUUUACUAUUCAAUGGACCAGCACACAGCUUACACCUGAGGUCUGUGGGUGUUGGAUAUGGCCUUGCGGUUGGUUAGAGGCUUCUACAAUAAAAGGUCGUAGAUCAAAGCCAGAUGUCUGCCACCUCCAGGCUGAAAUGGUCCACUAUCAGUGUAUUUAGGAUCAAAAAUCCUUAAAAAGAUGCUUUGGCUCCAGCUGACAUUGUAUACAGAAGUGGCUCCAAAUGAGAAAGCCUGAGGAGGUUGGACUGAAGGAUUACAGCUGCUUUUUUCCAACCCUGAAGAGGCAGGUACCAAUUUAAAGAAAGCUAGAGCAGCAGCCAACAGAGCAGAUUAUUUCUGCACGGAAGAAGGGAAAAGGGCUCAAACAAACCAGAUUUUUCUCAGGCCCCAGCUAUGCUGCCGCAGCCCCAAAACUUGUGCCAGUUGCAGUGAGUCUGACGCAUUGCACCAGAAAUCAGAGUGGGGACCACAUCAGCUCACAGUGAACAACCACAGAUAAGAUAAAAAUCAGCUUUCGGCAGCAAGUGGAACAAAAGCCAAGCUGCAGCCACAGAGAGAUCAACAAGCCUGGAGGCUGCAGAUGGGCAGUGCUCCUGCAUGGGGCAUUCCAGACCAAAGCAGCAACUGGUAGCCUUUAGGAAGGAAGGAAUAUAGCAAGGAAUAUAGGCCUGGACUAUCUUAUAAACAUGGUGAAGAAACAGCACCAACUCCAACAUGAGAUAUAAAAAAAGUAUUAUUAGGCAGAAGCACCACUAUACUGUCUCAUUAUUCAAAACAUUUAUCAAAGAGCAAGUCUCCCAAUUAAGCUACUCAAUGGGCUUCAAUAAAAGAGAAGCAAACAUGAGCUUGAGAUUAAAAAUGAUGAUUACGCUCUUACAAUGUUAGAUUCAACACACAGUCCAAAGAGAAAUAGCGUUUUUACCAAUAACACUGCAUCGUCUACAUCGACAGCCUAUCUGCCUAUCCUAUACAUGCAGCAUACUAUAUGUAUACACUGACACAGAACUGCAUUGUUGCCACAUGCAAUGGCCUGUGGACCCACUGCAGUUGCACAUGCUGGACUCCUGACAUAUAAAUCCCCUGGGGAAACUCAUCUGCACCUCACCAAGCUGUCACUGACGUGCCAUUAGCUACAUCCCUCACACAAAGGAUGACCCAAAACUGAACAGUCCCAUGGGAAAUGAAAACUGCGUACAGAACCAUAAGUCACAGCUGCAUGUUAAGUACCAAGGCACAAUGUAGUGGCCAUGCAAAUCACUUCUAUAAAGAUGCUUUUACCAUGGUAUAAGAUGUCAGAUUUUUUUCCCCCCCAUCUUUCAGUGCUGAAGUAUUGUUUUGCCAAAUGAAGUUUGGACAGGAGUCUUCAGCCUGGAGAAGAGAUGCCUUUGCCAGAGAACCCCAAAAUCACAAGUAGAAGAGAAGGGAAGGGGAGAGGGAUUGGCCUCCCACUGUCUCUUCCAAUGCAACAACCAGAAGUGACUAACUGCAUUUUGUAGUAAAACUCAUUAAGGAGAUGCUGCUUCUCACCCUAGAGCUUUAGGAUCUGUGAAAACCCUUACCCAAAGAGGCAGUGGUUGCAAAGAGUUAAUGCAUCAGUUUGAGGGGACACUGGACCUGUGCUCUGAAGAGAAAUACAUUGAAAAUUACUAAAUAGUGAAGCAGGCUCAGGAAGUCCCGAGCCACUAACCAGUUUUGGGUACAGGUUGAUCUCUUAUACGUGCACCCUGCUCUUAAUCAUCUCUGAACAGCCGCCUCCAGCCACAGAGGCAGGACACCACUUUCAGUAACCAGAAACUCAAACGGUUGUAUGGCUGCACAGAUGCAUACUCAAAACUGUUAUUCUUACAUCUUAAGGCUCUGCAGCAAGAUGCCACGAUGAAAAAGAAACAACCCACCACUAUCCCAGGUUGUCAAAUUCUUGUCAAAUUUCAAGUCUGCCUUUGGAUACUCGGUUAUUUAGACGCAUGGCAUUCUUAAUCUCCCUUCCAUCUCACUGUGCCUCACCUCCACCUUCCCAACUCUCCCUGCUGCUACGCCAAGCUCGCUUUGUCUGAACUUUUGGAAGAGUGAAGUCAGAAGGUAUUAACCGAAUACACAACGGUGUAACUGCUCCCAUCAUCAGGCUGCGUCUCAUCCCUAGGGUCUCUUAAUUGUUCAUUAAGAAAGCAGAAAGGAACCACGUGCUCCACACGGAAGGGAACUGGACUUCUCAAGCUUUGCUGCACACGAAUGCACAAAGUUUUAAAUAAAUCACUCUAGCCCAACAAGCAGAUGUGCAAACAAGCUGAACACCAAUGGCUUUUGCCAGAAGGAAGUGACAAGCAGCAACAGGCCCACUUCUGCCAUGAGUCAUCCUUGCAAACAGUUUUUUGGAGAGAAAUCGCCCGGAGCAGCAGGCAUCAGACUGGGAGCACCAGAGAAGCAGUCACAGCGCUGAUCACCAAUUUGUGGGUUUGGAACUGUGCAAGACCAAACGAGCUCACACACAACUGCUGCAGGAAGCGGGCUAAUAGAUAAAAAGUUCAGCUGCAGGCACGUAUCAGAUGAACCGGGUAUGUUGUUUCAUCUGAAAAAAAAAGGCCAUGAAGCUGAUUAGAAAAAUGCACUCUUCAGAAGUUUGAUGAGUAUCAAAGCAGGAACAUCAGGUUACACCAAAUCACACCCAGGGCAUCUUGCCAUCAGCAGGUGAUUUGAUUUUGGCUUACCCAGACUGCUUCCUCACCCUGCUGAUGCGGCCAGCAUGUUUCAUACCAUGGUUUUGAGGACUAUGGUCAGCUCUUUUCUCUUAGUAACCACUUAUGCUAUACCUCCUGUAAGCGCUCCUCCUCAAACUUGUUUGCCACGUGGACACCUUUCAACAAGUCACUCCUUCCUCCUGUCGCAAAACCUCUUGCAGCCACAGCAGCAAAACUGCCUCCCAAAGAAAGCGUAACAGCAAUUACCAACCUGGUCCCAGCUCUCCUAUCUUGCCUCCUCUCCACUUAUAAAACAGGGCUGGCUUUGAGAUCCCAAACCAAUCUCCUUUCUCUGGCACACUGCUCUACACAGCCCCUCUCUGGCCAGCAAAGCAGCUCCAGGGCACAUGCACCUCCCAGUGCUGCCUCUUCCCACUUCUCUGGCAGUACUGGACUACGAGCACCGAGCAGAAUAAGCACCACAGGGAACGCAUCUGCACAGGACAGCAUCCACCCAUCCAUCCCCUGGCAUUGCAAAAUGUGCCAAAGCCCUAACAGAUAAGUCCCACCCUCCUGGAGGAGCCUGGAGUCGUGCUCCUGCAUUGCUCUGAACAUAAAUCAUCCAAAUUUCUUGCUCUCGAAUUUAUUUAGGGAGGAAAGAAUACCCAACAUAAGACCCUGACCACUGCGGCUUUCACACGGAUGUGCAACACUCUCAGUUUUUUCCUCCUUUGCUUGAGAGCUUGGCUUUCUCCAUCCAAGCUAACCUUACAACAGAUGUAACAGCUCAGAAAAGGUUCCUCAAUCCUCAAAUCCAUUUCCAUUGCAGGCAAUUGUGAAAGAGGACAGGGAAGAUGAGAGAAGGAAGAAAAAUCUGUCCUCAGAGUUAUCACAACUCAACCAGAUAAAGCCAGAUUGAGGAAGGACACUACUUCUGUUCCAAGCAGGAGGCUGAACUACAGACCCCGCAGAGCGUAAGCAACAUUUCCAUGAUGCUGCAAAAAAGACAUCUGCAGGAAUGCAG